rnacentral:rRNA from 1 species
AGAGUUUGAUCCUGGCUCAGGAUGAACGCUAGCGGCAGGCUUAACACAUGCAAGUCGAGGGGCAGCGGGGAGGAAGCUUGCUUUCUCCGCCGGCGACCGGCGCACGGGUGAGUAACACGUAUGCAACCUGCCCCUGUCAGGGGGACAACCCGCCGAAAGGCGGGCUAAACCCGCGUACAUGCCACCGGGGCAUCCCGGAGGCAGGAAAGGCUUCGGCCGGACAGGGAUGGGCAUGCGGCGCAUUAGGCAGUAGGCGGGGUAACGGCCCACCUAACCGACGAUGCGUAGGGGUUCUGAGAGGAAGGUCCCCCACACUGGUACUGAGUCACGGACCAGACUCCUACGGGAGGCAGCAGUGAGGAAUAUUGGUCAAUGGUCGGGAGACUGAACCAGCCAAGCCGCGUGAGGGAGGAAGGUACAGAGUAUCGUAAACCUCUUUUGUCAGGGAACAAAGGCGGGGACGUGUCCCCGGAUGAGUGUACCUGAAGAAAAAGCAUCGGCUAACUCCGUGCCAGCAGCCGCGGUAAUACGGAGGAUGCGAGCGUUAUCCGGAUUUAUUGGGUUUAAAGGGUGCGUAGGCGGACUGUCAAGUCAGCGGUAAAAUACGGGGGCUCAACCUCCGCCCGCCGUUGAAACUGACGGUCUUGAGUGGGCGAGAAGUAUGCGGAAUGCGUGGUGUAGCGGUGAAAUGCAUAGAUAUCACGCAGAACUCCGAUUGCGAAGGCAGCAUACCGGCGCCCAACUGACGCUGAAGCACGAAAGCGUGGGUAUCGAACAGGAUUAGAUACCCUGGUAGUCCACGCAGUAAACGAUGAAUACUAGCUGUCCGGGGCGAAUGGGCCCUGGGUGGCACAGCGAAAGCGUUAAGUAUUCCACCUGGGGAGUACGCCGGCAACGGUGAAACUCAAAGGAAUUGACGGGGGCCCGCACAAGCGGAGGAACAUGUGGUUUAAUUCGAUGAUACGCGAGGAACCUUACCCGGGCUCAAACGACACAGGAACGGUCCUGAAAGGGGUCGGCUCUACGGAGCCUGUGUCGAGGUGCUGCAUGGUUGUCGUCGGCUCGUGCCGUGAGGUGUCGGCUUAAGUGCCAUAACGAGCGCAACCCCCAUCGACAGUUGCUAACAGGUUAGGCUGAGGACUCUGUCGAGACUGCCGGCGCAAGCUGCGAGGAAGGCGGGGAUGACGUCAAAUCAGCACGGCCCUUACGUCCGGGGCGACACACGUGUUACAAUGGCAGGUACAGCGGGAAGCCACCUGGCGACAGGGAGCGGAACCCGAAAGCCUGUCUCAGUUCGGAUUGGAGUCUGCAACCCGACUCCAUGAAGCUGGAUUCGCUAGUAAUCGCGCAUCAGCCACGGCGCGGUGAAUACGUUCCCGGGCCUUGUACACACCGCCCGUCA